ACACCGAUGGUGAAGCGGUUAUCAUGCUUGCCUUCCAUCAUAAGGAAAUAGAACCGUGGUAGCAAGCGGCAGGGGUUCGACUCCCCUUCGGUGUA